rnacentral:rRNA from 1 species
GAUCCUGGCUCAGGACGAACGCUGGCGGCGUGCCUAAUACAUGCAAGUAGAACGCUGAAGGAGGAGCUUGCUUCUCUGGAUGAGUUGCGAACGGGUGAGUAACGCGUAGGUAACCUGCCUGGUAGCGGGGGAUAACUAUUGGAAACGAUAGCUAAUACCGCAUAAUAGUAGAUGUUGCAUGACAUUUGUCUUAAAGGUUAGGCAAUUAGUCAUCACUACCACGAUGGACCGUCGCG